GGGAGUGCAUUAGGAGGCAUCACAGGCACGAGCCUUCUGAGAAUCAGUGUAGCUCCGUCCUAAUCAAGCACAUCAAGGCUCCUGUUCCUCUUGUUUGGUCUUUGGUGAGAAGAUUUGAUCAACCCCAAAAGUACAAGCCAUUUAUAAGCAGGUGUGUAGUGCAGGGGAAUCUUGAGAUCGGAAGUCUUAGAGAAGUUGAUGUCAAGUCUGGGCUCCCAGCCACCACAAGCACCGAAAGAUUGGAACUUCUUGAUGAU
rnacentral:misc_RNA from 1 species